rnacentral:tRNA from 1 species
AGAAAAGUGUCUGAUUUAGGUAUUAAACUGUAAAUUUAAUUAAGAAUAGAUUGCUUUAUUCCUUUUCUA